GUGGGGAAUAUUGGACAAUGGGCGCAAGCCUGAUCCAGCCAUGCCGCGUGAGUGAUGAAGGCCUUAGGGUUGUAAAGCUCUUUCAGUGGGGACGAUAAUGACGGUACCCACAGAAGAAGCCCCGGCUAACUUCGUGCCAGCAGCCGCGGUAAUACGAAGGGGGCUAGCGUUGUUCGGAUUUACUGGGCGUAAAGCGCACGUAGGCGGAUCGUUAAGUCGGGGGUGAAAUCCUGGAGCUCAACUCCAGAACUGCCUUCGAUACUGGCGAUCUUGAGUCCGGAAGAGGUGAGUGGAACUCCGAGUGUAGAGGUGGAAUUCGUAGAUAUUAGGAAGAACACCAGUGGCGAAGGCGGCUCACUGGUCCGGUACUGACGCUGAGGUGCGAAAGCGUGGGGAGCAAACAGGAUUAGAAACCCUUGUAGUCC
rnacentral:rRNA from 1 species